rnacentral:misc_RNA from 1 species
UAUCAAGAUAUUGGUAACUAUAAAACUAGCAAAAAUAGGCUACCAAAUUAAAAUUUAUGAGUUUUUUUUUUUUAUAUCACAAAUUAAAGUUUAAAGAUAAUCUUGUUAUAAAGCUCAAACUUCAGGGAGGAUGGGUCAGAUUUACUUUGACACUUCAACCCACUUGAUAUGAAGAAAGAAUCUCCUCUAAUGACAAACACUAUCAUGACCACCUCAAUGGAGGAGAAAAAAAGAGGCAGAGGUCAAUGAUAACUUGAUAAGGUCAGCUCUCAUCUUGCCUGCCCAAUAUCUCUGUAAGUGAGUCUUUUUUCCAGGAGUUGUACCUGUUAUCUAUAUCACAAUGCCAAGCGCCACUUCCAUUUAUUGUAUUUUAUCCAAAGCUGCUGCUUUUUUUCCCCCAUCUAUAGAUGUUGUUGGACAAGUAAAGCAUUGUUUAUACUAGAGCACUUUCGAAAGUGCUUGAUUAAUUUUAGAUUAGAUCAUAAUCAUUAAAAGUGAUACUUAGGACUGUUGGGUGAAAUUUUUCAUUGAUGUAAUGAGUGCAUUGAAGAAAAAGAAGUACUAGGCCCUCUGAUUAGUUGAGUGUCUUUUUAUCAAAGAAUUGAUGACAGGCAAUAAAUACCCUUUAAGCAGCCUCUGGCCACUCUGCACUCUGCAGAUGUCCAAAUCGCUACAAACAUAUUUUCCACAUAUCAUUUGUCAUACUUCUCUACUCAUCUCAGUGAAUAAGCAAGGAAGAAAAGAGCACAAGCACAGAUAUUAAAAGAAGCAAGGUGAGGUUGUUUAGCAGGCAUAUUUCACUUUUGAAGUUAUUUUCAAAUCUAUAAUAAGUUUAUAAUUUGGGAUUAAGAUUUUGUUGUUGCAUCAAGUUUUAUGAUAAUCAUACAUUCUCAGAGAAAUGAGCAUGGAAGAGGCAAAAGAAAAGAACGAGAUUGAGAAUGAGAAACUGGAAGAGACGCAGGAUGAAGCAGAGAGAUUAGGGAGAGCCCAACCGUGGACAAGGCAAAUCACUGCAAGAGGAGUGCUAGUGAGUGUUGUGAUUGGGGCCAUCUAUAGUGUGAUAACUAUGAAGCUGAACCUCACAACUGGGCUGGUUCCUAAUCUAAAUGUCUCUGCAGCCCUUCUUGCUUUUGUGUUUAUCAGAACAUGGACAAAAAUGCUUCGUAUGGCAGGAUUCGUAGCCAAACCCUUUACCCGUCAAGAGAAUACUAUGAUUCAAACUUGUGCAGUUGCUUGUUAUAGUAUAGCUGUGGGAGGUUGGCUUUCAUCUAUUGUAAUUACACUUUGCACAUGUAAACGUUCUUUUUGUUAAGUAGCCUGCUUGCUUAGUUAUGAUCCUUUUUUUAACGUUUGUUUCAUUUUGGGUUUUACUUAAUCACAGGUGGGUUUGCUUCUUACCUUUUGGCAUUAAAUAGGAAGACAUAUGAGUUUUCAGGGGAACACACUGAAGGGAACUCUUCAAGAGCUGUAAAGGAACCUGGAUUUGGUUGGAUGACUGGCUUCCUUUUCCUAGUUUGCUUUGUUGGCCUUUUCGUCUUAAUUCCACUUAGAA